rnacentral:rRNA from 1 species
GGGUGCGAUCAUACCGGCACUAAUGCACCGGGUCCCAUCAGAACUCCGAAGUUAAACGUGCUUAGGUGAGAGUAGUACUAAGAUGGGCGACCUUUUAGGAAGUCCUUGUGUUGCACCCC